UUGAGAAAUAAACUACCCGUACCGCAAACCGACACAGGUAGUCGAGGCGAGUAGCCUCAGGUGAGCGAGCGAACUCUCGUUAAGGAACUCGGCAAAAUGACCCCGUAACUUCGGGAGAAGGGGUGCUGACCGCAAGGUCAGCCGCAGUGAAUAGGCCCAGACAACUGUUUAUCAAAAACACAGGUCUCUGCUAAAUCGUAAGAUGACGUAUAGGGGCUGACGCCUGCCCGGUGCUGGAAGGUUAAGAGGAUGAGUUAGCGUAAGCGAAGCCCAGAAUUGAAGCCCCAGUAAACGGCGGCCGUAACAAUAACGGUCCUAAGGUAGCGAAAUUCCUUGUCGGGUAAGUUCCGACCCGCACGAAAGGCGUAAUGAUUUGGGCACUGUCUCAACGAGAGACUCGGUGAAAUUUUAAUACCCGUGAAGAUGCGGGUUACCCGCGACAGGACGGAAAGACCCCAUGGAGCUUUACUGUAGCUUGAUAUUGAGUGUUUGUACCGCUUGUACAGGAUAGGUAGGAGCCGUAGAAGCCGGAACGCUAGUUUCGGUGGAGGCAUUGGUGGGAUACUACCCUUGCUGUGUGAACACUCUAACCCGCGCCACUAAGCGUGGCGGGAGACAGUGUCAGGUGGGCAGUUUGACUGGGGCGGUCGCCUCCUAAAAUGUAACGGAGGCGCCCAAAGGUUCCCUCAGAAUGGUUGGAAAUCAUUCGCAGAGUGUAAAGGUAUAAGGGAGCUUGACUGCGAGACUGACAAGUCGAGCAGGGGCGAAAGUCGGGCUUAGUGAUCCGGUGGUUCCGUAUGGAAGGGCCAUCGCUCAACGGAUAAAAGCUACCCUGGGGAUAACAGGCUUAUCUCCCCCAAGAGUCCACAUCGACGGGGAGGUUUGGCACCUCGAUGUCGGCUCAUCGCAUCCUGGGGCUGUAGUCGGUCCCAAGGGUUGGGCUGUUCGCCCAUUAAAGCGGUACGCGAGCUGGGUUCAGAACGUCGUGAGACAGUUCGGUCCCUAUCCGUCGCGGGCGCAGGAAAUUUGAGAGGAGCUGUCCUUAGUACGAGAGGACCGGGUUGGACGUUCCGCUGGUGUACCAGUUGUGCCGCCAGGCGCAUCGCUGGGUAGCUAUGAACGGAAGGGAUAAACGCUGAAAGCAUCUAAGUGUGAAGCCCCCCUCGAGAUGAGAUUUCCCAUUCCUUUAUGGAAGUAAGACCCCUGAGAGAUGAUCAGGUAGAUAAGCUGGAAGUGGAAGAGCAGCGAUGUUUGGAGCGGACCAGUACUAAUCGGUCGAGGACUUAAUC
rnacentral:rRNA from 1 species